UAUUCCUUGCUAUUAUGGGUUCCCAAAACGUGAUAAAGUUGAAGGGGCUUGAAUAUUGUGGUGAAGCCCCGCAGGCAGCCAGCGGAUGUACUUUAUUUGCUUGUUUUUUUUUGGCGGUGCCAUUUAGCCAGCUGACCCUCAUUUCUUUGCCCACUAUGAUGAGAAUGCCACAGCAAACAGAGCAGACAAGUUUGGCCGGAAGCAUUUUUCCCUAUUUUUUAACACACUUGUCAGCAGCUAUAUCAGAAGGCCCAAAACUGCCAGGGAAAGGCCAAUGCAUCCCAACACUGCAAGUGUUACGUGGCUGCUUCAACAAGCACUGCGUCUAAUUGGCUGCGUUUGAGUUUUCCAUUCAUUAGCAAGUUGGUGCCAAACCAUUCCAUCACACAGGUAUGAACAUUUCCUUGAUUUUGAUCUUUGUUGUUUUUUUCUCCCUGACCUUUUUUUUUUUUCCUUUCCCUUACAUAAAUUUUACUUCAACCCACUCCGGGAGUCAUCUGAGCAUAUCCCCCACUUUAGCACGGAUCCGAUUUGCCAUGGAAACCAACGUGUGAAGAAAAGUGUUGCGUCUCCACGCACACAAGUACACAACUUGUGCUCCCUAAUUAACAACAAUUCUUCAGUCCUCGCCCACCUUUGAAGACGAAGGUCAUCCAUCCAUGCUGGCGCCUAUCUCCAGUUAACGUUCCGGGCGCGAGGCGGGGUCACCCUGGACAGGUCGCCAGUCCAUGCAUGCACAGGGAGAACAUGCAAACUCCUCGUAGAAACUCCAUGCCAUGAACCGAACCCAGGACCUUCUUGCUGCAAGGCGACAGUGCUACCAAACUGCACCACUGUGCAGCCCAAAAGAAGAUCAGGAGCUUCAUAAUUGUAUUAUUAGCCAGUGCUCUAUUGAAGACCCACUCCUCGACCUCCAGACAUGUUUCUUAUGCCACAUCUAGCUUUUCGUGUGGAUCGUCCUCUGAAUCCUCGUUUGCCGGGAUUGAACUCUCUGCAUUGCAGUCUUUUCAGCAUAUUCACUUUGGAAUAAACCUGGCAAACUAGAGUUUCCAAUAUAAUCAUCAGGGCAUUGUUGGAAAUAGGGUUAACUGUAUACCUGAUUGAAGUGACGUUCUCGUUUUUGUAAAGUGUCUUGAGAUGAUGUGUUGUAA